CCCUCAGACUCUCACCUGACCAGAGAUUAAAACAGCAGUGGUCAUUGUACCUCACUUUACCCCCCUCGCCCACCCUCCCCUUGCCCCCCUCCCAGAGAAUUCAGCAGCACACUUCACAUCUUGACUCUUAAGCCAAAGCAUCCUGGAAUGUGAAUGGCGUUGAUUAGACGCGGGGUGUGGGGAGCCGAGCCGAGCGGGCGGAUUUGGGGCCGCUUCCCGGACGGCCCCCGGCCGCCUCUCCGCUUCGACGCUUAAAGCUUCCCCCGGAUUCAUCCGUCACACAGCCCGCCGGUGUUUCCACAGACGCCGCUGUGAAGCCGCGCGGCCCGGUGUGGGCAGGGAUCUGGCCCCCGAGACUGAGGCCUCCCCUCACCUGCGACGCACAUGCUCAGACGGAAAAGCAGCGUAACGGCAUAAAGGAACAAAUCUGUCAAAUUAAAAAUAAAUAAAGAAGUGAAUGUGACAAUGAA